rnacentral:rRNA from 1 species
AUACGUAGGGGGCAAGCGUUAUCCGGAAUUACUGGGUGUAAAGGGAGAGUAGGCGGCAUGGUAAGUUAGAUGUGAAAGCCCGUGGCUUAACCACGGGAUUGCAUUUAAAACUAUCAAGCUAGAGUACGGGAGAGGAAAGUGGAAUUCCUAGUGUAGCGGUGAAAUGCGUAGAUAUUAGGAAGAACACCAGUGGCGAAGGCGACUUUCUGGACCGAAACUGACGCUGAGGCUCGAAAGCGUGGGGAGC